AAAGUCGUAACAAGGUUUCCGUAGGUGAACCUGCGGAAGGAUCAUUACCGAGUACCGGGUCGCAAGGCCCUUACUCCCACCCUUUGUGUACCUACCUAUUUUUCGUUGCCUCGGCGGGGUCGAUCCCCAGGGCCCCCAGGCCCUGGCGGGGACCCGCCGGGGGGACACAUCUAAACUCUUGUCAACGGUGACGUCUGAGAAACAAACAAACUAGUCAAAACUUUCAACAACGGAUCUCUUGGUUCUG
rnacentral:misc_RNA from 1 species